UACGAAGGGGGCUAGCGUUGCUCGGAAUUACUGGGCGUAAAGGGCGCGUAGGCGGACAGUUUAGUCAGAGGUGAAAGCCCAGGGCUCAACCUUGGAAUUGCCUUUGAUACUGGCUGUCUUGAGUUCGGGAGAGGUGAGUGGAAUGCCGAGUGUAGAGGUGAAAUUCGUAGAUAUUCGGCGGAACACCGGUGGCGAAGGCGGUUCUCUGGGCAUGUCCUGACGCUGAGGAGCGAAAGUGUGGGGAGCGAACAGG
rnacentral:rRNA from 1 species